rnacentral:lncRNA from 10 species
AUUUUGUCAAAGCUUAAACAUUGACAUUUAAUGACAUUUAAAAUCUGUAUUAGUUUACUAGAGCUGCCAUAACAAAAUAUCACAGACUGGGUGGCUUAAACCAAGAAAUUUAUUUUCUCACAGUUCCAGAAAAGUCUAAGAUCAAGAUGCAGAUAGGAUUGGAAUCCUCAGAGGUCUCCUUGGCUUGCAGAUGGCUGCACCCUUGCUAAGUCCUCACACGUUCUUUCCUCUGCACAGGAGUGGAUUCCUUCUACUUUUUAUUCAUGUCCUUUUGAAAUCAGAAACCUUCCUAGGUAAUUAGAAUAUUUCUUUAGCUGCUUCCUGGUUGAAUAUAUGGAUUACUUAGCCACUCCAGACUUCCGGUAGUGUUGGGAAUUACCAUGCUUUCCAUGAAGAUGUGAGCUUGCUGGGUAUCAUGUACGUUGGCAGACGCAGUGACGUAUUUGAGAGUUUCACAUGCCUCUUAACCUGUCUUUCCUCCCAGAACCGUGUGCUAACUCCUCAUCAAAGACCAGAAGUAGAUCCUGAAUUGUAUUCAUUCUCAUCUCUUUCUACCUCCUCCAAGACAGAAGGACAUGAUUAACUUCUUUAUCUCAAUGUCAGCCUUCAAUAGCUACAAAAGUCUAAACUGUAAAUAGCGUUGAAGCUUUGCAUAAUAAAAUUCUUUUCCCCAGUGAUGGGCAGUUUUUCACAUAGUAACAUUCUUUUAAUCUUUUUUUCUUUUUAAUGAGUAGACAUAAAGAAAUGCUUAAAUAAAUAAUUAUCAACUAACUUACCUACAUUUAACUACACAUACCUAACAGACCUGAAUAUAGGCAGAGGAUGUGACAUUUUACUUACCCUUUUAUUAAAGUUACUGCUUCAUUUAUUGGUCUUUACUUCACUAGUGCAUCCAUAAAAUGUUUACAUUUUUUUAAACAAUAAAAUACUCUUGAAAUUAGUCCUUCUCUGUAAUCACUACAUAAAACUGCUUUAGAGACAGCCUUCAGAUCAACUAAAUUAUAUUUUACAAAAUGGCUUAGGUAUUUCAGUAGUAACUCUAUGGAACAACAGAAUUCACUGUUUAACCAGGGACCAAUAUUGGCAGCUGGCUUCCAUAACUUGUUUGAGGAAUGUAGUAAUUCCAAGGUUGCUGCAAGGACUAAUGUACAGGAAUAUUCCUGUAUUUUAUGGAAUAAAAAGGAAGAACGAGAGGAG